rnacentral:rRNA from 1 species
UUCCGGUUGAUCCUGCCGGACCUCACUGCUAUCGGGGUGGGACUAAGGCAUGCAAGUUUGUGUCUUCAAGCUACGGCGAAGACACAGCGGACGGCUCAGUAACACGUAGCUAACCUGCCCUCGGGACGGAGAUAACCCCGGGAAACUGGGGCUAAUAUCCGAUAAGUGAGAAUGCCUGGAAUGGUUUCUCGCCUAAAAGAUGUGGAACCAUGCUUCCACCACCGCCCGAGGAUGGGGCUGCGGCCGAUCAGGUAGUUGGCGAGGUAACGGCUCACCAAGCCUAUAACCGGUACGGGCCGUGAGAGCGGUAGCCCGGAGAUGGGCACUUAGACAAGGGCCCAGGCCCUACGGGGCGCAGCAGCUACGAAAACUCCGCAAUGCGCGCAAGCGUGACGGGGCUACCCCGAGUGCCAUCCGCUGAGGAUGGCUUUUCUCUGGUGUAAUGAGCCGGAGGAACAAGGGGAGGGCAAGCCUGGUGUCAGCCGCCGCGGUAAUACCAGCUCCCCGAGUGGUGAGGAUGAUUAUUUGGCCUAAAGCGUUCGUAGCCGGCUCGGUAAGUCUUCCGUCAAAUCCAGCGAUCUAAUCGUUGGACUGCGGGAGAUACUGCAGGGCUAGGGGGCGGAAGAAGCCGACGGUACUCCUGGGGUAGGGGUGAAAUCCUAUAAUCCCAGGAGGACCACCAGUGGCGAAGGCGGUCGGCUAGAACGCGCCCGACGGUGAGGGACGAAAGCUGGGGGAGCGAUCCGGAUUAGAUACCCGGGUAGUCCCAGCUGUAAACGAUGCACGCUAGGUGUUGGCGUGACUACGAGUCACGCUAGUGCCGCAGGAAGCCGUUAAGCCUGCCGCCUGGGAAGUACGGUCGCAAGACUGAAACUUAAAGGAAUGGCGGGGAGCACCACAAGCGUGAAGCUUGCGUUCAAUUGCAUCAACGC